CACAUGCAAGUCGAGCGGUAGAGAGGUGCUUGCACCUCUUGAGAGCGGCGGACGGGUGAGUAAUGCCUAGGAAUCUGCCUGGUAGUGGGGGAUAACGUUCGGAAACGGACGCUAAUACCGCAUACGUCCUACGGGAGAAAGCAGGGGACCUUCGGGCCUUGCGCUAUCAGAUGAGCCUAGGUCGGAUUAGCUAGUUGGUGAGGUAAUGGCUCACCAAGGCGACGAUCCGUAACUGGUCUGAGAGGAUGAUCAGUCACACUGGAACUGAGACACGGUCCAGACUCCUACGGGAGGCAGCAGUGGGGAAUAUUGGACAAUGGGCGAAAGCCUGAUCCAGCCAUGCCGCGUGUGUGAAGAAGGUCUUCGGAUUGUAAAGCACUUUAAGUUGGGAGGAAGGGUACUUACCUAAUACGUGAGUAUUUUGACGUUACCGACAGAAUAAGCACCGGCUAACUCUGUGCCAGCAGCCGCGGUAAUACAGAGGGUGCAAGCGUUAAUCGGAAUUACUGGGCGUAAAGCGCGCGUAGGUGGUUCGUUAAGUUGAAUGUGAAAUCCCCGGGCUCAACCUGGGAACUGCAUCCAAAACUGGCGAGCUAGAGUAUGGUAGAGGGUGGUGGAAUUUCCUGUGUAGCGGUGAAAUGCGUAGAUAUAGGAAGGAACACCAGUGGCGAAGGCGACCAUCUGGACUGAUACUGACACU
rnacentral:rRNA from 1 species